rnacentral:rRNA from 3 species
UUGGAGCUAGCCGUCGAAGGUGGGACAAAUGAUUGGGGUGAAGUCGUAACAAGGUAGCCGUAUCGGAAGGUGCGGCUGGAUCACCUCCUUU